rnacentral:sRNA from 1 species
GUCGCCGAGACAACGGCGACCCGGAUUGGCGUCCGGAAUAGUUCUCUGGCGGACAACCGCCGCAGCGCGGUUUUUUU